UCCCGUUUAGCUCAGUUGGUAGAGCGCGUCACUAGUAACGUGAUCAACGUCACAUUGUCUAUGACGAGGUCAGUCGUUCGAGUCGGCUAAUGGGAA